rnacentral:misc_RNA from 1 species
AAGUCGUAACAAGGUAACCGUAGGUGAACCUGCGGUUGGAUCAUUAAAAAAGACCGUUUCGGUGCUCAUAUAUUCUGUUCAUCUUAUAUAUCAAUAUUUCAUUAUAGCGAUUUUUGAGUGUACUGUAGUUUAUGAGGACAAAAACACACUUUUGUGCACAAAUUAUGUUCUUGGUGGUUUAAAGUUGAAAGUUUAAGUACUUUCAGCUAUUGCCAUCAACAGGUGGCUCUUUGAAUGAAGAGUUGCUGCUUAUUAAACUUAUUGUUGUUUUUUUGUCUUAACUUAAAACUGAAAUUGUCUUUUUUGGCAAAUGAAUGUUUAUUAUUUUUUGAUAUAUUACAACCUUUAACAAUGGAUCUCUUGGCUCUC